CCCGCAACGAGCGCAACCCCUGUCCUUUGUUGCCAGCACGUAAUGGUGGGAACUCAAGGGAGACUGCCGGUGAUAAACCGGAGGAAGGUGGGGAUGACGUCAAGUCAUCAUGGCCCUUACGGCCAGGGCUACACACGUGCUACAAUGGCGCGUACAGAGGGCUGCAAGCUAGCGAUAGUGAGCGAAUCCCAAAAAGCGCGUCGUAGUCCGGAUCGGAGUCUGCAACUCGACUCCGUGAAGUCGGAAUCGCUAGUAAUCGCAAAUCAGAAUGUUGCGGUGAAUACGUU
rnacentral:rRNA from 1 species